ACGCGAAGGUCCCAGCAGGGGAGCUAUAUACUCUUACAGUGAGGCUCCUCUAACAAUAGAUUUCGCAACCCUUCGCAGAUCUAAUAGCCGAAUCGUAGGAUGCUCAAAAUGUUUUGAUUUUUGGUGCAUCCGGAACCCUCGGCUAAAUGUUA